rnacentral:rRNA from 1 species
UACGUAGGGUGCGAGCGUUGUCCGGAAUUAUUGGGCGUAAAGGGCUCGUAGGCGGUUUGUCGCGUCGGGAGUGAAAUCCACUGGCUUAACUGGUGGCUUGCUUUCGAUACGGGCAGACUGGAGGUAUGCAGGGGAGAACGGAUUCCUGGUGUAGCGGUGAAAUGCGCAGAUAUCAGGAGGAACACCGGUGGCGAAGGCGGUUCUCUGGGCAGUAACUGACGCUGAGGAGCGAAAAGCGUGGGGGAGCGAACAGG